GAUGAACGCUGGCGGCGUGCUUAACACAUGCAAGUCGAACGAUGAGGCCCAGCUUUCCGCGUGGAUUAGUGGCGAACGGGUGAGUAACACGUGAGUAACCUGCCCUUAACUCUGGGAUAAGCCUGGGAAACUCGGUCUCAUACCGGGUAGGGGCGUCCACCUCAUGGAGGGUGUUGGAAAGCUUUUGCGGUUUUGGAUGGGCUCGCGGCCUAUCAGCUUGUUGGUGGGGUAAUGGCUCACCAAGGCGACGACGGGUAGCCGGCCUGAGAGGGUGACCGGCCACACUGGGACUGAGACACGGCCCAGACUCCUACGGGAGGCAGCAGUGGGGAAUAUUGCACAAUGGGCGCAAGCCUGAUGCAGCGACGCCGCGUGGGGGAUGACGGCCUUCGGGUUGUAAACCUCUUUCGGUAGGGAAGAAGCGAAAGUGACGGUACCUGGAGAAGAAGCACCGGCUAACUACGUG
rnacentral:rRNA from 1 species